rnacentral:rRNA from 1 species
UACGUAGGGGGCAAGCGUUGUCCGGAAUUAUUGGGCGUAAAGCGCACGUAGGCGGAUUGCUAAGCCAGGGGUGAAAUCCUGGAGCUCAACUCCAGAACUGCCCUUGAUACUGGCGGUCUCGAGUCCGGGAGAGGUGAGUGGAACUGCGAGUGUAGAGGUGAAAUUCGUAGAUAUUCGCAAGAACACCAGUGGCGAAGGCGGCUCACUGGCCCGGUACUGACGCUGAGGUGCGAAAGCAUGGGGAGCGAACAGG